rnacentral:rRNA from 1 species
CUACGGGGGGCACCAGUGGGGAAUAUUGGGCAAUGGGCGAAAGCCUGACCCAGCAACGCCGCGUGAAGGAAGAAGGUUUUCGGAUCGUAAACUUCUAUCCCGGGUGAAGAUAAUGACGGUAGCCCGGAAGGAAGCCCCGGCUAACUACGUGCCAGCAGCCGCGGUAAUACGUAGGGGGCAAGCGUUGUCCGGAAUGAUUGGGCGUAAAGGGCGCGUAGGCGGCCUUUUAAGUCCGAUGUGAAAGUCCUGCUUUUAAGGUGGGAAUUGCAUUGGAAACUGGAAGGCUUGAGUGCAGGAGAGGUAAGUGGAAUUCCCGGUGUAGCGGUGAAAUGCGUAGAGAUCGGGAGGAACACCAGUGGCGAAGGCGACUUACUGGACUGUAACUGACGCUGAGGCGCGAAAGUGUGGGGAGCAAACAGGAUUAGAUACCCGGGUAGUC